rnacentral:rRNA from 1 species
ACCUACCCUUGACAUGUCUGGAAUCCUGAAGAGAUUUGGGAGUGCUCGAAAGAGAGCCAGAACACAGGUGCUGCAUGGCCGUCGUCAGCUCGUGUCGUGAGAUGUUGGGUUAAGUCCCGCAACGAGCGCAACCCUUGUCAUUAGUUGCUACGAAAGGGCACUCUAAUGAGACUGCCGGUGACAAACCGGAGGAAGGUGGGGAUGACGUCAGGUCAUCAUGGCCCUUAUGGGUAGGGCUACACACGUCAUACAAUGGCCGGGACAGAGGGCUGCCAACCCGCGAGGGGGGAGCUAAUCCCAGAAACCCGGUCGUAGUCCGGAUCGUAGUCUGCAACUCGACUGCGUGAAGUCGGAAUCGCUAGUAAUCGCGGAUCAGCUUGCCGCGGUGAAUACGUUCCCGGGUCUUGUACACACCGCCCGUCACACCAUGGGAGCGGGUUCUGCCAGAAGUAGUUAGCCUAACCGCAAGGGGGGCGAUUACCACGGCAGGGUUCGUGACUGGGGUGAAGUCGUAACAAGGUAGGCGUAGUGCU